rnacentral:lncRNA from 10 species
UAGAUCCUAAUGUUGCUCUCCCUGGAGCUGGGCUGCAGGAAGUCUGGGCCCCCGGCUCGCACUCCCGGACCCCGCACCAACCUCCAGGGUCGCUCUCCAAUCUUAACCAGGUUUGCUCCCUGAGCGUACCCAGGUGCUACAGCAUCAGCUUCCCUUGCCGCUUCCUGCGGCUGAAGGGAUGGUCCGACCAAAGCCUCCUGCCCUGGGGCAGCCGAUGCCACUGCAUGCUUUUUCCUGCGCUUGGGCUUCACGGUGCCACGGAUAUUGGCCGGCUUGCUGCGCUUGGAGCGUAGGGUAAUGUACACCACAUUGGGCUGCAGAGUGGACCCAUUGCCCUGGGACUCUGGAGGGGCCAGGGUACCAUCCAGGGGUAUCUCAGGGAAGGAUGGCUCGGCGGUGUCGCGGCUGCGAUGUGGCCCCUUCUCAGCCGCCUGUCCAUGCUGGAGAGAGGCCCUCCCCACCUGGCUCACCAGGAAGCCCAAGUAGAUGGCACACGCAGUGCCCAGCAGAAGGUUUCUCCGGGUCCUUGGACGCCGGCUGCUCCAGAGCUUACGCACCCGCGGGACGCACAGGGAGCAGAUGAACCAGUUUAUGAGCUGCCCCGGCUUGUCUGGACAGGUCAUUUCUCUGCCGCAUCCACAUGUUGAACGGAGUUUAAAGUCUGCAGUUGGCUCCUGCUAAUGUGAUGCAUGGUUUCCUGACUUCAGCUGCCGCGUCCGCUUCGGGAUACAGCUGAAAGAAAAUAAAAGCAUCUCUAGUUCUGUUUUUUCACUAUUAAAAAGAAAAAGAAGAAACUCGUAAGCAACCUUACUUACACAGCUGGCCCCAUGCUUGGCUCCAGGAAGAAUGUAAUCCUUGACUCUAAUGCAAAGAACUUUUAAAGGCUGAGGCAUGAAAUAAACUUUAAUUUUAAAUUCGGAAAAAAGAAAUGCCGUAGAGAAUCAGUUUUCAUUCAAAUAAAUUUCCACUUAUUUUUAACCCCUGGGAGCCCUCUAGUGUCCUGUUCGCAAACAGACUCAGAAAUGUCAGUCUCAUGAAGUUCAAAAGAUCGAGAAUGUUUGCUAUCUUGGUGGAGCAGCCGCAGCCAAGCAAGUAACUUGUAAAAUGAGGAAUGCCAUCACCCCUCGAGUGUCCAUCCCACAUAACUUGGGGUUAGAGCACAAGCGUUCCCAGGAACUACUCACCUUACCAUCUUGGCCGUUUCAUUUGUCUUCCACCAGUUCUGGAAAGAGAAGGCCUAGAAGUUCAGAAAAAAAGGUGUGUCACUUGCUGUGACUGUGUGGCAGCUUGCCCAUCUCCUGAGAGCCCUUGGGAAAGUGAAGGACAAUAUAUAAGGACUCCAAUCACUUAAAAGCUAAGUAUUAAGUUUUUCCUUGCCACUGCUGACCCAGGUUUGUUGCAUAGAUUGCAGACCUGGAGAUGGAUACCUUGUUCUUGGUUCAGUGCUGCACAGACUCCUCCACUGGGGGACCCUAUCCCUUGCUCCUCAUAGUCCUGAUUUCUAGGACCCAUAACCCUAUUAUAAUUAAAAUCCCAGCAUUAGCAUAGGUUCCUGGCUACAACCUUUGUCCUACUUAUUGUAUGGAAUUUGCUAAUACCUUUGCUAUCCAUUCCAACACCAGGCCUGGACAGCACCAAGCUGCCCUGCCUGCAGCUGAAAAACUUUUAACUUAAUAGUCUUUGAAGUUUUGUCAUAGAAGUGUUAAAUAGUACUCUAUACUGUAUCUGUCUUUUGAACUGUAUGUAAAAGAAGUUACAUUGAAUAUAUUUUAUAGAAAUAUGUGCACUUUUUAUCUGGCACUUUAUUGCUCACCCCUAAGGACAUCAUUCCUGUUGACCUAAACUAGUACAUCUAUUUGCAGUAGGAAAAGUGCUUUUGGAGAAAAUCACCUGUCUCCUCAGAACUGGUCUUACAAGUCUGUGAAGUAACACUAUGUGCCAGCCUAAUCACUCAUAUAUGACCUCAAGAGAACACCAAAUAAGCAUAUUUCCAGCAGGAAAUGACCAGUGCUUUGGUUAAGAAUGCACAUUAUACUGCAGUUCUUUGGGGAAUGAAGCCACCCUUGACUGAGGUAAUCAUCAGUUCAAAGGCAACUCCUUGUUUUAUCUUUGCACUAAUUGCUUAGAGAAAUAACCAGACAAUAUAAUUUAUGACAACAAAUCUGCAUUUAACUGAGUUAACGAAUUUGUAAACAAAAAGAUUCCUAUCUCAGGUAGGUGCUUUUGGCAAGAUAUUUAAUUUUGCCCAGUUUCCUCAUCUGAAAUAUUAUGCCAACUCUCACCCUGUGAAUCCACUGACUGGGGAACAUUGUUUAAGAAAAUCACAUGGCUGUGCCAACAAGCAAGGAGACACGGCACAGAAGACAGAGGCAGAAGCAGCUUUAUUGAAAAACAGAGCAUGAGUAGAACGACUUCAAAUCCCAUAUGGCACCACAGUGAGAAGUAACUUCCUCUGAGCUUCUUAGAGAAUCCAACAAUGUCCUGCUUCCUUGGGGAGCUGCAGCCAUGGGCACAUGGGAAUAGGGCUUCCACCAAGAGUCCCGUCAGUCACAGCAACAGGAGGUCUUCCUCAGACAACUUUGAUGAUAGUGGUUGUUAGCCAGAGCAAGCUAGAACCAGAAAGAAAAACUAUGAAGAUGCCACAGUGGGAGUCUGAGCACCUUGAGGCCUCCUGUUGGAAACUGGCAAACCUAACUGUGGGACACUUGGAUGCUGAGUUCUGGUAAACAUGCUGUCGGAGGCACGGUAAUUUAGUCAUUAACAUUUAAAAACGAUCUAAUUCUAUAUACAUACUCUGUUGAAGACUUCUUCCAACCACCUUGUAUUAUAAAUUUAAAAUAUGAAAUACAAACUCUUUAUGUGUCUUGACUCAGAUUACCUAGGAAGGGACAGUGACCUAUUCAUCAAUGUUUAGAAUUAGAGUAAGUUAUAGAAUAUAGUCUGAGAAAAUUACUUGGACCAAGAAAGCAAUGUCCCUGACAUUCAUCAAUCUAGAACCAGAGCUGCAGAUUAAGCUAGGUGCAAAUUUAUCAGAAAACAAUAUUUUUCCCAAAUACAUAUUGCAGCCAUAAAAUGCCCUAAAAACCCAGUUCUUAGAGGGACUAUUGCUUACUUACUGAGAAAUUGUAUUCUCUGAAAUCAUAGACUAUGAGAUGCAUUGCUGUUUAAAAUUAUUGCAAUAAGAAUGAAACAUCUCACUCUUAUCUGGAGGAGUUAAGUCAUUGUGAUCAGUGAAGCCUUGAUUUAAGCUCCUGUGCAAAGCUUCAGAGAAUGGGUCUCAGGACACAACAUUUGACAUCUAUUUUGACUUCAUUUCCAAGAAAAUAGGACUGCUAUGGUUUGAAUGUUUGUCUCCCUCAAACCAAGGUGUCGGAGGUGGGGCCUAAUGGGAGACGUUUGGGUUAUCAGGGAGGGUCCCUCAUGAAUAGAUUAAUGCUCUCCCUGGGGGUAGGGAACAGUUAGUGAGUUCUUGCUUUAUUCAUUCUCAAGAGAGCUGGUUGUUAAAUAGAGCCUGGCGCCUCCCUCCUCCCUCCUUGCUUUCUCUCUCACCGUAUGAUCUUAGCACAUUACACCUCCCCUCACCUUCUGCCAUGAGUGGAAGCAGCCUGAGCCUCUCACCAGGAGCAGAUGCUGGUGCCAUGCUUCUUGUACAGCCCACAGAGCAGUGAGCCAAAUAAACCUCUUUUCCUUAGAGAUUGCGCAGCCUCAGAUGUUCCUCUAGAGCAACACAAAAUGGACUAAGACAAGAACCAUAGGUCCAUUUCACAGUACAGAGCUGAGGUUGACCCCUUUUAUACACAACCAUACUUUCUUAGAGCCCAUAGAAUAUCAUUUCAUUUACAUCACACCUAAAUUCCACUCUUUAGCAAAAUCUUAUGUUAACCCUAUAUUUUCCUUUGUUUGAUGAGAUACCCCACAAUUGCUCUGUUGUGCAGUCCCCACACUGCAAUGAGUCAGUAAACUCAAUUGGUUUGUUUACAGGUUGUCCCUGGUGGUUUUAGGCUGAUUGGGCUAAGACAAACCACAUCUUAUUUUUUAAAUGUCUCCUUUAAGCAAAUGUUAUUAUCUGUAUUUUACUCUAUUCCAUAAGCAGAAGUGACAAAGUAGUCUAAUUUUACCAAAAGAUGCUUAUAGCAUAAAACUUUCUAUGCUGUAAACAUAGAAAGUACUUGACUCUAGGAUGGACCCCCAUGAUCCCCACCUCCUGGUAUCCGCGCCAUGAUGCAAUCUGCUUACAGCCUAAAUCAGGAUGAACCAUAUGACUCAUAGAACACUGCAGAAGGCAUGAUGUGUGACUUCAGAUGUGAAGUCAUAGAGGACAAGGACACAGCCACCUUCUUGGAUUUCUCACUCUGUGGAAGGGCAGUGACAUUCCAUGAGACAAGCAGUCCUGUGGUGAGGCCCAUGUCAAGAAGGCCUGAGAUCUCCCACCAUCAGCUACAGCCAAUUUGUCAGUCACGUGAGUAAACCACCUGGGACGUGAAUCCUCUCGACUUAACCACCUCUUCAGGUGGCCAGAGCCCUAGCCCAGGUCUGACUGCAACCUGAUGAGAAACCCUGAGUAGGAAGACCUGCUUGAGCUGCUCCCAAAUUAUUGAUCCACAGACACUAUGAGAGAUAAUACGUACUUAGUGUUCUUUUAACCCACUACAUUUUGGUUGGCUGUAUUUAUUACCCUGUAACAGAUGACUAAUACAUCUCCUGUGAUCAAAACACUUCAGAGGUUCCCCAUUUCUCUCAGAGAAAUAUCCAAAGUCCAUAAGGCCUGUGAGGCCCCUCACAUUCUUCCCACCCCCAUUACCUCUCUAACUCCAUUUUCUACCACUCUCCUUCUUUCCACCUCAACCACAGCUACAGUGACUUCUUUGCCCUUUCUCAAAUCUGCCUCAGGGCCUCUGUACUGGACACUCUCUCCCCACUCCCACUCCCUCCUCCAGGCCUUCACUGAAAUGUCUCCCUCUCAGUGAGGACUUCCUUUCCUAAACUGCAGUACCCCCAACCUACACACACACACACACACACACACACACACACACACAGAGUCUCUAGUCUUCCUAGCUCCUUAAUUUUUUUUUCCUUAGCACAUAUCACUAUUUCAUAUACCAUAUUUGUCAUCUAUUUUCUGGUUUCCCUUUCUCAGAUGUAAGCUAAGUUGGUGCAGGGGUUUUUGUCUGUUCCCAAUGUCUAGAAGAGUGUCUGAUUUACAGUAGACACUCCAUGAAAUUUGUCAAAUGAAUACACCAGUGUUAAGAGUAUAAGAGUGUAAUAGUACCUUUAAAAAUGCCUCAAAGAUAAAUCUUUUGAUUUAUCUUUAUUUUUAGAUCUCUACCCCCACUUUAGCCACUUCUGAAAUUUACUACUAGAAAAACCUUUUCUUUCGUGAAGAACUGUCUCACAAAAAUAGCAGUUAAAUAGGAAGCUAUCCUAACCCACUGUUUGCCUUUUCCCUUGUGAAACUCAGACCAAAAUUGAAAGUCAUCUAUUGUAACUAUGUGUUCUUGGCAUCUAAACUCUGUUUUGUUUCAUCUUGACUUUCUUAAUUUCCUAGGUUUUUUCCUUUGUUCCUAUUAUUUUAUUGUUUUUAUUCUAUAUUGCUUCAAAGACUUUAUGAAAUUAAGUAAAUUAUAAAUACAAAUAUA